rnacentral:rRNA from 1 species
UCAAGUUAUUAAGGGUGCAGGGCGGAUGCCUUGGCACUAGGAGCCGAUGAAGGACGUGAUAAGCUGCGAUAAGCUUCGGGGAGUUGCACGUAAACUUUGAUCCGAAGAUUUCCGAAUGAGGAAACUCACUUAGAGUAAUGUCUAAGUAUCAUUAAGUGAAUACAUAGCUUAAUGAGGGGAACUCAGGGAACUGAAACAUCUAAGUACCUGAAGGAAGAGAAAGAAAUUCGAUUCCGUAAGUAGCGGCGAGCGAACGCGGAUUAGCCCAAACCAAUAAAGUUUUCUUUAUUGGGGUUGAGGACAUACCACAUAUAAGAGGUCAUUAUAGACGAAGAAGUUUGGAAAAACUCAUCAUAGAAGGUAAUAAUCCUGUAGUCAAAAUAAUAAUUCUUUAGGUAUGAUCCAGAGUACCACGGGACACGUGAAACCCUGUGGGAAGCAGGAGGGACCACCCUCCAAGGCUAAAUACUACCUAGUGACCGAUAGCGUAUAGUACCGUGAGGGAAAGGUGAAAAGAACCCCGGGAGGGGAGUGAAAUAGAACCUGAAACCCUGCACUUACAAGCUGUGGAAGCACAUUUCUUGUGUGACCGCGUACUUUUUGUAGAACGGGCCAACGAGUUACGUUAAGUAGCAAGGUUAAGCACUUAAGGUGNGGAGCCGUAGCGAAAGCGAGUUUUAACUGAGCGUUCAGUUACUUGACGUAGACCCGAAACCGGGCGACCUACCCAUGAGCAGGAUGAAGCGAAAGUAAAAUUUCGUGGAGGUCCGAACCCACGAGCGUUGAAAAGCUCGGGGAUGACUUGUGGGUAGCGGUGAAAUUCCAAUCGAGCCCGGAGAUAGCUGGUUCUCCCCGAAAUAGCUUUAGGGCUAGCCUCAAGGUGAGAGAUACGGAGGUAGAGCACUGAAUGUCCUAGGGGGUAUUGCACCUACCGAAGACUAUCAAACUCCGAAUGCCGUCAUCUUAUACUUGGGAGUCAGACUGUGGGUGAUAAGAUUCAUAGUCGAAAGGGCAACAGCCCAGAUCGUCAGCUAAGGUCCCUAAAUGUAAGUUAAGUGGUAAAGGAUGUGGGAUUGCACAGACAACCAGGAUGUUGGCUUAGAAGCAGCCACUCAUUCAAAGAGUGCGUAAUAGCUCACUGGUCGAGUGAUCCUGCGCCGAAGAUUUCCGGGGCUAAAACUUACUACCGAAGCUACGGCAUCAGUAAUGAUGGGUAGGGGAGCUUCCCAUACGGGUUGAAGCAUGACCGUAAGGACAUGUGGACAGUAUGGGAGUGAGAAUGUUGGCAUGAGUAGCGAGAUGUGGGUGAGAAUCCCACAGGCCGUAAACCCAAGGUUUCCAGGGGAAGGUUCGUCCGCCCUGGGUUAGUCGGGACCUAAGCUGAGGCCGAAAGGCGUAGGUGAUGGACAACAGGUUGAUAUUCCUGUACUACCGAUAACCGUUUGAGAGAAGGGAUGACACAGUAGGAUAAGCUAAGCACACUGUUGGUUAUGUGUGCCCAAGCAUUGAGGCAGUCAAAGUAGGCAAAUCCGCUUUGAUAAUGCUGGGAUGUGAUGGGGAGCGAAAUUUAGUAGCGAAGUAGCUGAUUUCACACUGUCAAGAAAAGUCUCUAUCGAGGUUAAAGGUACCCGUACCGCAAACCGACACAGGUGGGUGAGGAGAGUAUCCUAAGGCCAGCGAGAGAACUGUUGUUAAGGAACUCGGCAAAAUGACCCCGUAACUUAGGGAUAAGGGGUGCCACCAUCAGGUGGCCGCAGAGAAUAGGCCCAAGCGACUGUUUACCAAAAACAUAGGUUUCUGCUAAGUCGCAAGACGAUGUAUAGGAGCUGACGCCUGCCCGGUGCUGGAAGGUUAAGGGGAUCUGUUAGAGCAAUCGAAGCAGUGAACUUAAGCCCCAGUAAACGGCGGCCGUAACUAUAACGGUCCUAAGGUAGCGAAAUUCCUUGUCGGGUAAGUUCCGACCCGCACGAAAGGCGUAACGAUUUGGGCACUGUCUCAACAACAGACUCGGUGAAAUUGUAAUUCCGGUGAAGAUGCCGGAUACCUGCGACAGGACGGAAAGACCCCAUGGAGCUUUACUGUAGCUUGACAUUGGGUCUUGGUACUACAUGUACAGGAUAGGUGGGAGGCUUUGAAACCAGGACGCCAGUUUUGGCGGAGCCAUCCUUGGGAUACCACCCUUGUAGUACUGGGACUCUAACCAUAGGCCAUGAAUCUGGUCUUGGGACACUGUCAGGUGGGCAGUUUGACUGGGGCGGUCGCCUCCCAAAAGGUAACGGAGGCGCUCAAAGGUUCUCUCAGUACGGUCGGAAAUCGUACGUAGAGUGUAAAGGCAAAAGAGAGCUUGAUUGCAAGACAUACAGGUCGAGCAAGGAUGAAAAUCGGACUUAGUGAUCCGGUGGUUCUGCGUGGAAGGGCCAUCGCUCAACGGAUAAAAGCUACCCUGGGGAUAACAGGCUUAUCUCCCCCAAGAGUCCACAUCGACGGGGAGGUUUGGCACCUCGAUGUCGGCUCAUCACAUCCUGGGGCUGUAGUAGGUCCCAAGGGUUGGGCUGUUCGCCCAUUAAAGUGGUACGCGAGCUGGGUUCAGAACGUCGUGAGACAGUUCGGUCCCUAUCCGUCGCAGGCGUAGGAAAUUUGAGAAGACCUGUCCUUAGUACGAGAGGACCGGGAUGGACGUACCUCUGGUGUACCAGUUGUCCUGCCAAGGGCAUGGCUGGGUAGCUAUGUACGGAAUGGAUAAGCGCUGAAAGCAUCUAAGCGCGAAGCCAACUUCAAGAUAAGAUUUCCCACCGCAAGGGUAAGACCCCAGAAAGACUAUCUGGUUGAUAGGUCGAAGGUGUAAGUGCAGCAAUGUAUUUAGCUUAUCGAUACUAAUAGGUCGAGGACUUGACCAA